GAUGAACGCUGGCGGCGUGCCUAAUACAUGCAAGUCGAGCGAACAGACGAGGAGCUUGCUCCUCUGACGUUAGCGGCGGACGGGUGAGUAACACGUGGAUAACCUACCUAUAAGACUGGGAUAACUUCGGGAAACCGGAGCUAAUACCGGAUAAUAUAUUGAACCGCAUGGUUCAAUAGUGAAAGACGGUUUUGCUGUCACUUAUAGAUGGAUCCGCGCCGCAUUAGCUAGUUGGUAAGGUAACGGCUUACCAAGGCAACGAUGCGUAGCCGACCUGAGAGGGUGAUCGGCCACACUGGAACGUAGACACGGUCAAGACUCCUACGGGAGGCAGCAGUAGGGAAUCUGCCGCAAUGGGCGAAAGCCUGACGGAGCAACGCCGCGUGAGUGAUGAAGGUCUUCGGAUCGUAAAACUCUGUUAUUAGGGAAGAACAAAUGUGUAAGUAACUAUGCACGUCUUGACGGUACCUAAUCAGAAAGCCACGGCUAACUACGUG
rnacentral:rRNA from 1 species